rnacentral:rRNA from 1 species
AUUGAACGCUGGCGGAAGGCCUAACACAUGCAAGUCGAACGAGUGGCGGACGGGUGAGUAAUGUCUGGGAAACUGCCUGAUGGAGGGGGAUAACUACUGGCAACGGUAGCUAAUACCGCAUACCAUCAGAUGUGCCCAUAUGGGAUUAGCUAGUUGGUGGGGUAACGGCGCACCAAGGCGACGAUCCCUAGCUGGUCUGAGAGGAUGACCAGCCACACUGGAAGUGGGACACGGUCCAGACUCCUACGUGAGGCAGCAGUGGGGAAUAUUGUACAAUGCGCGCAAGCCUGAUGCAGCCACGCCGCGCGUAUGCAGAAGGCCUUCGGGUUGUAAAGUACUUUCAGCGGGGAGGCGUUACCCGCAGAAGAAGCACCGGCUAACGCCGUGCCAGCAGCCGCGGUAAUUC